GCGGCGUGCCUAACACAUGCAAGUUGAGCGAUUUACUUCGGUAAAGAGCGGCGGACGGGUGAGUAACGCGUGGGUAACCUACCCUGUACACACGGAUAACAUACCGAAAGGUAUGCUAAUACGGGAUGAUAUAUUUGAGAGGCAUCUCUUGAAUAUCAAAGGUGAGCCAGUACAGGAUGGACCCGCGUCUGAUUAGCUAGUUGGUAAGGUAACGGCUUACCAAGGCGACGAUCAGUAGCCGACCUGAGAGGGUGA
rnacentral:rRNA from 3 species